rnacentral:rRNA from 1 species
CAAUAGCGUAUAUUUAAGUUGCUGCAGUUAAAAAGCUCGUAGUUGGAUUUCGGUUAAGAGCGACCGGUCCGCCGUUUGGUGUGCACUGGUUGGUUUUAACUUCCUGUAGAGGACGUGCUCUGGGUUUAACGACCUGGACUCGGAGUCUACGUGGUUACUUUGAAAAAAUUAGAGUGUUCAAAGCGGGCUUACGCUUGAAUAUUUCAGCAUGGAAUAACACUAUAGGACUCCUGUCCUAUUUCGUUGGUCUCGGGACGGGAGUAAUGAUUAAGAGGAACAGUUGGGGGCAUUCGUAUUUCAUUGUCAGAGGUGAAAUUCUUGGAUUUAUGAAAGACGAACUUCUGCGAAAGCAUUUGCCAAGGAUGUUUUCAUUAA